UAAACUAGGAUUAGAUACCCUAUUAUUUUAGAAUGUUAAUUUUUGUGCUUGAGUAGUAUUAGUUAUGUUCUUGAAACUUAAAGAAUUUGGCGGUAUCUCAUUCCGUUCAGAGGAAUCUGUCUCGUUAUCGAUAGUCCGCGUUGGACCUUACUUAGUUGCUUUGGUUUGUAUACCGCCGUUUAUUGAUUAUCUUUUUAGAGGUUUUAAUUUUCUUUAUUUUUUAUUUUGAUUUAUUUCAGGUCAAGGUGCAGCUUGUUUCUAAGUGAAUGAUGGAUUACAUUAUUAUUUGUUUUUGGAUUGUUUUAUUUGAAUUUGGGCAUGAAAUUGGAUUUGGUUGUAAUAAUUUGUAGAUUGUUAUUAUGAUAAUUGGUUCUGAGAUAUGCACACAUCGCCCGUCGCUCUCGUUUAUUAAUGAGAUAAGUCGUAACAUAGUA
rnacentral:rRNA from 1 species